AUAGUCGCCAAAACGUACGACUUCGAAAUCAAUCAUUUACGCACAUAUCGCAGAGUGUAAACAACCAACGACGCUCAUUGGCUGCGCUACCAUGGCCGAUCCCAUUCACUAGACCUAGUCUACAGUAGGGAUGACAGCAAUAGCUUCAAAGAUGCGCUGGAGAAAAUGCUCCUCUGUUCUCGCGAUGCCACGAAAUUAUAUAAGAAAUAUAAAUAAAUAUCUGGGAGCAAGGCUCGCUCAACUAAAAGCAUCCACUGAAGCAAUUUUACAGGGCGGCUGAAAAACCAGAGAAAAUUGGGAGAUCUUUUGGAAUCCUGAAUCCACCUCAUGCGAGACAAAUUUCUACAAUCAAAUCUUUUGGAAAAUCUUUUUAGAUGGAUACUGGUUUUUCCCAAUUUCCCGAGAACUAGAGUUCGUUAAACACACUCUGAAGCUUGGUAAGCUGUUCUGUAACUGUUGUGAUAAUGACUGUUGUGAGUGUGCAUUCAAAAGUCACAAAAAUAUUGGAUCGAAAAGGAACGAAACAAUUCUUCGUCUUAGGACCUAGGGAAAGUGUUGAUAAUGCCACAGAGUUUUGUUCUUAUAAUGUUGCAAGUAUCUAAGUUUUGAGCAUGAAUCUUAUGAGUUCAGUUACUCAAUUUGCUCAAAUGGAACUCAUAAUGACUGUUGUGAGUGUGAAAGCUUUGUAAAUUUUCAUUUUGUUAUCAUAAAUUCAUUUACUAA